UGGGGAAUUUUGCACAAUGGGGGAAACCCUGAUGCAGCGACGCCGCGUGAUUUAGAAGGCCUUCGGGUUGCAAAAAUCUUUUCUAUGGGAAGAAAAUGACAGUACCAUAGGAAUAAGGACCGGCUAAUUACGUGCCAGCAGCCGCGGUAAUACGUAAGGUCCGAGCGUUGUCCGGAAUCAUUGGGCGUAAAGGGUACGUAGGCGGGUAAGCAAGUUAGAAGUGAAAUCCUGUAGCUCAACUACAGUAAGCUUUUAAAACUGCUCAUCUUGAGAUAUGGAAGGGAAAGUGGAAUUCCUAGUGUAGCGGUGAAAUGCUCAGAUAUUAGGAGGAAUACCGGUGGCGAAGCCGACUUUCUGGCCAUACUCUGACGCUGAGGUACGAAAGCGUGGGUAGCAAACAGG
rnacentral:rRNA from 1 species